rnacentral:tRNA from 1 species
GGCUGGGACUUCUCUUAAAACCACCAGAGUCGGUCUUGAAAACCGAAGUAUUGAUAGGAAUACCGGGGGUUCGAAUCCCUCUCCAUCCG